GGAGGGCUCCGGUGGGCAGGGUAUGGCGUCCGCCAUACCUUGAUUUUCGGCCAAAAAAAUUUAUACCUACGUAUCUAUCACUUUUGUACUGCCUAGAAAUCGACUGGAGCCUCGACCGCGGCCAGAUGGGGCUCUGCAUCGAGCGCCCACUAGUGUAUACCUAGAGAAACAGAAAGAAACGAACGCCCGCACACACCAACGCCGCGACGCGAACGCGACCAACUCCACCCACCCAGACGCGACCAAACCUAGCGCGGCGGCGGCGGCUGGGCAGGUCGCGAGGUCCAGGCGGGCGCGACGACGGGGCAGUCGACGGCGUCAGCGGGCUGGGGGCUUGGAGGGCUGCUGCACAGCGGCGCCUGCAAUGGCGGCUCCGGCGGCGCAGCAAGCGGUGGCUCCGGCGGCACGGGGGCUUCACCGGCGGCUCCAGCGGGCGACGACCACAGUCGGGGUCAGGGAUUUUCCUGGUAAUCCCUAGGGGCUAGGUCUGAACUCUGAACUUUGUUGGGGCAUUGGCGUUUUAUCUUGUGUCAGUUCUCCAUGAUCUGAUGUUUCUGAACCAGAACUCCAGAUUUGUUUAUAUUCAUUCAUGCUAGUGUAUUUGUCCAGACUCCAGAUUUAGAAUUUAGAAAUUAGAUUAUUAUAUACAUGCAAGGAAAUAAGAUGCCCAACCGGCAUUGUUCUGUCGAGAUUGCCAGAAGAUGGAAGGAAGGGGAAGGGACUAGCAAAUUCAAAGAAAAGGGGAAGAGAUUUGAAAAGGUAUUUUGAAGUGAUUAGUAGUGGCAGCAGCUCAAAAACGAAUCCAAGCACCCACGAAAGUGUCAAUAUUUUGGCAAAUGUCAAUCAUGAAGAUCAAGUGACUUCCAUGGAAGUAGAUCGUGAAAAUUUGAUGCCAACCGAACAAAAGGAAGAACAAACUACAGAUUCCGUCGAAGCUAUAGUGGAAGAGAAUGUUGAAGUUCACGGGGUUGAAGGACAAUUCAAAAAGAACUUGUCAAACAUUGUGCAACUGCAGUCACCAAUGUAAUCAAAGAAGAGAUGGAUGACUUUCUUUUCACUGUUCUUAUUGAUGAGUGUCGUGAUAUAUCGGUGAAAGAACAAAUGGCCGUGGUUGUCAGGUAUUUGAGCAAAAAAGGAGAGACCGUUGAAAGCUUUUUAGCUAUUAAGCAUCUCAUAGACACAACAUCUGCCUCUUUGAAGAAGGCUUUGUUGGAGGUUUUUGCUAAACACGGUCUAGUUGUUGCAAGACUACGAGGGCAAGGAUAUGACGGGGCGUCUAAUAUGAGAGGAGAAUUCAAUGGACUUCAGAAGUUAAUUCGAGAUGAGAACCCAUAUGCUUUCUAUAUCCACUGCUUUGCCCACCAACUGCAGUUGGUAGUUGUUGCUAUUUCGAGAUGUUGCAAGGGUGUUGAAGAUUUUUUUGAAUAUGUGACCAUGAUUGCCAAUCUUAGUACUUCAUCUUGCAAGAGGAAGGAUAAAUUGCUUGACAGGCAAAAAGAAGUUCUUUUGGAUAAGAUUGAGAGAGGUGAGAUGCCCACACGAAGAGGGAAAAUCAAGAAACAUCGUUGGUCAGACCUGGAGACACAAGAUGGGGAUCUCAUUACCCAACCUUAUCUCGCAUUGAAUCAAUGUGGGAUGCAGUCAUAGAAGAUUUGGGCAUUGUUGAGGAUGAUGUGCGUGUUCCAUGUAGGGCAGGAGGUUUGGUUCAUCAAAUGGAGACUUUUAGCUUUGUGUUCAUCCUGAAGAUGAUGCUAAAAAUCCUUCGUAUCACAAAUGAUUUAUCUAUUCUAUUGCAAAAGAAGGAUCAAAAUGUUGUUCAGGCAAUGUCAUUGGUUACGGAUGUGAGAACACGUUUGGUCAACUGGAGAAAUGAUGGUUGGGAGCCACUCUUAGAAGAUGUCAAAGCCUUUUGCACCAAAAAUGACAUUCCAAUACCAAGUAUGGAUGACAUCUUUACAAAGUGGGGUAAAUCAAGAAAAGGUGGACGGAACAAUGUCACGACUGAUCAUUUUUUUUGUGCGGACACCUUCUAUGCUGCUAUAGACUCCAUCACCAUGGAGUUUGAUCAUCGUUUUAAUGAGGUAUCUUCAGAGCUGCUCCAAAACUUCUCUUGUCUUGACCCAAGAAAUUCAUUUUCUAGGUUCAACCUGAAUAAGAUCGCUAGGCUUACAGAGAUUUAUCAUGAUGACUUCUCUCACUAUGAACGUGAACAUAUAGAAGAUAACCUUGAUCUAUUCAUUAUCCUUAUGAGAAUAAUUGAAGACUUUAGAGCUUGUCAUGAUAUUGCAAGCCUAGCUAAAAUGAUGGUUGAACUUGAAAGGCAUGUUAUGUUUCCUAUUGUUUAUCGCCUCAUUGAAUUGGCAUUGCUACUACCAGUAGCGACAUCAACUGUUGGAAGGGCCUUCUCAUCAAUGAAAAUCAUUGAGCGAGUCUUGGAUUAGGGGGUGUUCGGGUAGCCGAACUAUACCUUCAGCCGGACUCCUAGACUAUGAAGAUACAAGAUUGAAGACUUCGUCCCGU